rnacentral:rRNA from 1 species
UGUAUAAAAUCUCGAUUUUAGUUAAAUUAAUUAAUUAAUUUAAAUGGAAGUUUAGGUGAAAGUUAUUUUAAAAUUUAAAGUAUAGGUAUAUUUAUUUAAAUAACAUUGGGUAAAAAAGAAUGAAUAUUUGAUGUGGAACUAGACUAAAUAAGAUAAUAAUUUUUAGAACUUAUAAUUAUAAGAAUUUUUUAUAAGUUUGAUGCUGCUAUAUAUUUAAUUAUUUCAUUCAUUAAAUUUAACACCUUAUAGUUAAUAUUUUGUCCAAGGAGACUUAUCUGAUUUUAUGGCGGUUUAAGAAAUUAAAAUUUCUGGUAUUGAUUGUGAUUAAAUCAUGAUUAUUAAAUGUAAAUUU